GAUGAACGCUGGCGGCGUGCCUAAUACAUGCAAGUCGAGCGAACAGAUAAGGAGCUUGCUCCUGUGACGUUAGCGGCGGACGGGUGAGUAACACGUGGGUAACAUACCUAUAAGACUGGGAUAACUUCGGGAAACCGGAGCUAAUACCGGAUAACAUUUGGAACCGCAUGGUUCUAAAGUGAAAGAUGGUUUUGCUAUCACUGAUAGAUGGACCCGCGCCGUAUUAGCUAGUUGGUAAGGUAACGGCUUACCAAGGCAACGAUACGUAGCCGACCUGAGAGGGUGAUCGGCCACACUGGAACUGAGACACGGUCCAGACUCCUACGGGAGGCAGCAGUAGGGAAUCUUCCGCAAUGGGCGAAAGCCUGCCGGAGCAACGCCGCGUGAGUGAUGAAGGGUUUCGGCUCGUAAAACUCUGUUAUUAGGGAAGAACAAACGUGUAAUUAACUGUGCACGUCUUGACGGUACCUAGUCAGAAAGCCACGGCUAACUACGUG
rnacentral:rRNA from 1 species